rnacentral:rRNA from 1 species
UACGUAGGGUGCAAGCGUUGUCCGGAAUUAUUGGGCGUAAAGAGCUCGUAGGCGGUUUGUCGCGUCGAAUGUGAAAAUCCAGGGCUCAACCCUGGACCUGCAUUCGAUACGGGCAGACUAGAGUUCGGCAGGGGAGACUGGAAUUCCUGGUGUAGCGGUGAAAUGCGCAGAUAUCAGGAGGAACACCGGUGGCGAAGGCGGGUCUCUGGGCCGAUACUGACGCUGAGGAGCGAAAGCGUGGGGAGCGAACAGG